GAUUUUUGUUUUUCAAUGUGCAUUGAAGUUGAGCAGUAGGAGAAUUGUCAUGUGUUCUUUUAAAAUCUUCUGACAUGUCAUCAUAAUAUGUGGCCCAGAGCUUUCUAAAACUCGGUGAGCAUGGUAUGUGAGGCAUAUUCCCAUGCAACAAUAUUUUUCAAAUUUUGAUUGUUCCAAAAGCAUACUAAAAUGUCAACAACAAUAUUAGAAAGAAGAAUAAAUGAUGAACAAAUAUACUUAAUUAUGAAUGCAUUUCUAUUAAAUUAUAUUGAUUUGGCUGUAGUGUUUAGAAAAUAGCACUUGACAAGUUUUUCCUCAAUUGAAUAUAUUGAGAUUCAAAUUUUCCUUGUAUUUUUUUCAUCGCGUAUAAUUUGGUUAUUGCAAUUUUUCUGCUAUUUUAAUGGCUGCGUUUGAAUGAAAAGCCUGCUCAAUCAGGGGUGGCCAUACAAACUCAUAAACUUCAAAUCCUAUGUUUGCCUAUUUCUAGUCUGUCUGCUCUGUUGGCUUGUUCCUAACUUGGCUUUACACAUUAAAUUUGUAUUACAUACUUUAGAAGAAGCUUUAUUUUAACAAUUUUUCCCCUUCCUACAGCUUUUCCUGUGUAAUGAAGCAGAGGCUUACUAUCGAUACAAUCACAUCGCUAUCUACAGAAUGGACCUUCCUAGCUACAGAUGGACCUUCAAAGUUCAAGUUGUGGAUACGUUUUGCUCUCGGGAGAGAAAAGAUCAAAUUGUUCAUUUCCAAACAAUAAGCGAAAAAUAGGUUUCUACAGAUCUGUAUGGUGAUGACAUUGGCAGGUGUCUUAAACUGUUUGCUCAUUACUCAAUGCGAGCCAACACGAAAGGGUUGUCAAUAGGUACACAAUUGUUGAGCCUAUGACCAACAACAGCAGUGCAUCAUUACUUGCUCCAUGAAAUUUGAAUGCUUCCUUUUUUCUGGAUAUCGUAGAAUUUGGUAGAGAAGGUGGAUUCUAUGGUAUAUGAGCUUGUAGAUGUGGUGGCUAAUGAGCGUGCUUUACUUGAGAAAUGUAGAGAUCUCUUAUUAUCAAUGACAGUUCUACAGGUAAACCUAGAUUUCCCUCUACCUGAAGCUUUUGAAGGAAACCAUAUUUGAGUUUGUUCAGAUUGUUUACUUCUCUUAGCAAAAUAAUUGCUUAGAUUUUUGUUGACAAUUUUAUAGAUUUUUGUUGCUUCUUUAAGUUAGAAAUAUUUGCUACUUCUUUCGUAAUGUUUGUGUCUUCUGAUGCUUUGAAC